GCGGUACAAUCAAACACUACAUGAUUAAAAGUACAAGUAUCUUACCAGAAAAUAACUUUGGUAGAAGUUAAAGUCACCUCUUAGAAUAUUACUUGAAUAAAAGUCUUAAAUUGUCAUU